rnacentral:rRNA from 1 species
UACGGAAGGCAGCAGUGGGGAAUAUUGGACAAUGGGCGAAAGCCUGAUCCAGCCAUGCCGCAUGAGUGAAGAAGGCCUUCGGGUUGUAAAGCUCUUUUAGUGAGAAAGAUAAUGACGGUACUCACAGAAGAAGUCCUGGCUAACUCCGUGCCAGCAGCCGUGGUAAUACGGAGAGGGCUAGCGUUAUUCGGAAUUAUUGGGCGUAAAGAGCGCGUAGGCUGAUUAGUAAGUUAAAAGUGAAAUCCCAAAGCUUAACUUUGGAAUUGCUUUUUAAAACUGCUAGUCUAGAGAUUGAAAGAGGAUAGAGGAAUUCCUAGUGUAGAGGUGAAAUUCGUAAAUAUUAGGAGGAACACCAGUGGCGAAGGCGUCUAUCUGGUUCAAAUCUGACGCUGAGGCGCGAAGGGCGUGGGGAGCAAACAGGGAUUUAGAUACC